GUCCACGCCGUAAACGAUGGAUGCUAGCCGUUGGCAAGCUUGCUUGUCGGUGGCGCAGCUAACGCUUUAAGCAUCCCGCCUGGGAAGUACGGCCGCAAGGUUAAAACUCAAAGGAAUUGACGGGGGCCCGCACAAGCGGUGGAGCAUGUGGUUUAAUUCGACGCAACGCGAAGAACCUUACCAGCUCUUGACAUGCUUCGGACGGUUUCCAGAAAUGGUUUCCUCCCAGCAAUGGGUCGAAGCACAGGUGCUGCAUGGCUGUCGU
rnacentral:rRNA from 1 species